CCAAUAGCGUAUAUUAAAGUUGUUGCAGUUAAAAAGCUCGUAGUUGAAUUUCGGGAUUAGUACGCUGGUCGUGCCUUCGGUAUGUACUGGUGUUACUGGUUCCUACCUUCUGAAGAACCGUCAUGUCAUUAAUUUGGUGUGGCGGGGAAUCAGGACUGUUACUUUGAAAAAAUUAGAGUGUUUAAAGCAGGCUCGCGCUUGAAUACAUUAGCAUGGAAUAAUGAAAUAGGACGUUCGAUCCUAUUUUGUUGGUUUCUAGGAUUGACGUAAUGAUUAAUAGGGAUAGUUGGGGGCAUUAGUAUUCAAUUGUCAGAGGUGAAAUUCUUGGAUUUAUUGAAGACUAACUACUGCGAAAGCAUUUGCCAAGGAUGUUUUCAUUAAUCAAGAACGAAAGUUAGGGGAUCGAAGACGAUCAGAUACCGUCGUAGUCUUAACCAUAAACUAUGCCGACUAGGGAUCGGAUGAUGUUAAUUUUUUAAUGACUCAUUCGGCGCCUUACG
rnacentral:rRNA from 1 species